UUACGGGAGGCAGCAGUAGGGAAUUUUGCGCAAUGGGCGAAAGCCUGACGCAGCAACGCCGCGUGAGGGAUGAAGGUCUUCGGAUCGUAAACCUCUGUUGAGUGGGAAGAACCUUCCCAAGGAUAACACCCUUGGGGACUGACGGUACCACUUGAGGAAGCCCCGGCUAACUACGUGCCAGCAGCCGCGGUAAUACGUAGGGGGCAAGCGUUGUUCGGAAUCACUGGGCGUAAAGGGAGCGUAGGCGGGAAGGCAAGUUGGGAGUGAAAUUCAUAGGCUCAACCUGUGACGUGCUUUCAAUACUGCUUUUCUUGAGUAUGGGAGAGGGCGAUGGAAUUCCAGGUGUAGCGGUGGAAUGCGUAGAUAUCUGGAAGAACACCAGUUGCGAAGGCGGUCGCCUGGCCCAAUACUGACGCUGAGGCUCGAAAGCUAGGGGAGCGAACAGGAUUAGAUACCCUAGUAGUCCU
rnacentral:rRNA from 1 species